GCACUUCGGGAUAAGCCUGGGAAACUGGGUCUAAUACCGAAUAGGACCAUUUAGUGCAUGCUUUAUGGUGGAAAGCUNNGCGGUGUGGGAUGGGCCCGCGGCCUAUCAGCUUGUUGGUGGGGUGACGGCCUACCAAGGCGACGACGGGUAGCCGGCCUGAGAGGGUGUCCGGCCACACUGGGACUGAGAUACGGCCCAGACUCCUACGGGAGGCAGCAGUGGGGAAUAUUGCACAAUGGGCGCAAGCCUGAUGCAGCGACGCCGCGUGGGGGAUGACGGCCUUCGGGUUGUAAACCUCUUUCAGCAGGGACGAAGCGCAAGUGACGGUACCUGCAGAAGAAGCACCGGCCAACUACGUGCCAGCAGCCGCGGUAAUACGUAGGGUGCGAGCGUUGUCCGGAAUUACUGGGCGUAAAGAGCUCGUAGGUGGUUUGUCGCGUUGUUCGUGAAAACCGGGGGCUUAACCCUCGGCGUGCGGGCGAUACGGGCAGACUGGAGUACUGCAGGGGAGACUGGAAUUCCUGGUGUAGCGGUGGAAUGCGCAGAUAUCAGGAGGAACACCGGUGGCGAAGGCGGGUCUCUGGGCAGUAACUGACGCUGAGGAGCGAAAGCGUGGGGGGCGAACAGGAUUAGAUACCCUGUUAGUCCACGCCGUAAACGGUGGGUACUAGGUGUGGGUUUCCUU
rnacentral:rRNA from 1 species